rnacentral:lncRNA from 1 species
GGAACAAGCAUUUCAAACACAAUGAAUGAGAAAAAAAUAAACUGGUGCUAUGUAAUCUACGGUUUCCUAGGACUUGUGUGUUGAGGAAAAGAUGGUGGCAGAAUGAGAAUUACAGACCAAGGAAAAGCAAAAGUGUGAAGGCCUUGAGCGAGGAGGAGCAUGAAACUUCAGAAAUGAAAGCAAGUAAAGAGGGUUGGAGUGGAGAGAGAAAGGAGAGAAUGACAGCACACAAGGCUAAUUCUCUGCCUGGAAGACAGGCUAAGGAUUCUGGAUUGUUUCCCAAGAACAAGUGAACAGUUUUAAGAAACAAUAUGAUCCAUUUUUCCCCCUAUUUCAAAUAAAUCCGUUUGCAAUGUGCAGGAUGGUUUGGAGAAGACAGGCAAGACUUGAUGUCAGAAGACUAUUCAGGGGCUAAAGCUCUACUACCAUUUAUAAAUGAAGGGAGUUAUUCUCAUUUAAGUCUCUGAAAUUGAGAUGUACCUACUUAAAAAUUAAUAUUGUUAUCCCUUUUAUUUUUCUGUGGUCGUGAAACAAAUUUGCAAAGAUUAUGACAGUGAGAAGUAUAGUGUGGCUGAUUCUUUUUUACUUCUAUCCUCACAGGUUGUCUAUCCUUGCUCAUUCCUGAGUAUAGGCCAAGCUAACCAUAGGAGGAAUUUAUAGAGUAACUUUGAAGCAAGGAUGACAACAGUCUCUUCCUAAAACUAACCCCCUCCUUGAGGGACUGACAUCACCUUUGUAAAACUAAUUAAAACCACAUAAUUAGGAUUAUGGAGAGGGCUAAAUUCUGCUAAGAUGUAGGCAUAGUUUCUAUAAUCCCUUACUAGCCAUGAGUCAUGUGGCCUGAGGUCACAAGAUUUGUGACUUCACCAAUUGCUCCUAUAUAAAAAAUCACUAUUGUAGAACCUAAUAUUGACAUUUUAAUUUGUUUUUCAUACUUUUGCUUUCUGGUAAUUGACCCCACCUAGACCCAUGACUCAUGACUCAACUGGUCCUGUGGCCACCCCACCCAGAGGUGGACUAAGCACAAGAGGACCUUUUCUCACACCUCUGUGAGUUCAUACUAAACCAAUGAGCAGUACCCAUUCUCUAGGUCUCUGCUCACUAAAUUAUUAAAACUUUAGCCUCUGAGUUCUCGGGGAGGUAGAUUUGAACAAUAACCAAGUCUUAUGCUUACACUUGGUCAGCCUUGCAUUAAUUAAACUCUUUCUCUACUGCAAUAGUAUGGUCUCAGUGAAUUGGUUUUAUCUGUGCACCAGGCAGGAAAAAUCUGUUGGGCAAUUACAGAUCCCUAAUGAGUUUACCCUGAAUUUUCUGUUUAUUUUUCUGUGCUUCCAGAUAAGUCAUGAUUUCCUUAAAAAGCAUAUCGUUGAUGAGUGUAUACUUUUAUGUAAAUAAUAUUGUGUUAUCUCAUCUUGUGUUGUUGUACCUAACUGCUGUUUUCCUCUAUAUGAAUCAACCUUAUUUAUUCUGCUAAUUAUGGACUACCAACCCACUGAGCCCAAUCAUAAAAAGUACCUCAGUAACCAUAAUCAUUCAUACCCUUGAAAGGAGCUGUGUGAGAUUUUCUUUGCAGUAUAUAUCCAGAAUCAAAUUUCAGUUGCAUAGUCUGUUUGUGUAUCUCCUGACUGCCUACCAUGGCCUACUUUCCAUGAGAAAUGGAUGAGGGUUUUUAU